UAGAGUUUGAUCAUGGCUCAGGACGAACGCUGGCGGCGUGCCUAAUACAUGCAAGUCGAACGCUUCUUUCCUCCCGAGUGCUUGCACUCAAUUGGAAAGAGGAGUGGCGGACGGGUGAGUAACACGUGGGUAACCUACCCAUCAGAGGGGGAUAACACUUGGAAACAGGUGCUAAUACCGCAUAACAGUUUAUGCCGCAUGGCAUAAGAGUGAAAGGCGCUUUCGGGUGUCGCUGAUGGAUGGACCCGCGGUGCAUUAGCUAGUUGGUGAGGUAACGGCUCACCAAGGCCACGAUGCAUAGCCGACCUGAGAGGGUGAUCGGCCACACUGGGACUGAGACACGGCCCAGACUCCUACGGGAGGCAGCAGUAGGGAAUCUUCGGCAAUGGACGAAAGUCUGACCGAGCAACGCCGCGUGAGUGAAGAAGGUUUUCGGAUCGUAAAAACUACUGUUGUUAGAGAAGAACAAAGGACGUUAGUAAACUGAACUCCCCCUGACGGUUCUAACAAAGCCGA
rnacentral:rRNA from 1 species